rnacentral:tRNA from 1 species
GAGGAUGUAGCACAAUUGGUAGUGCGCUGGCCUGUCAAGCCAAAGGUCGCGGGUUCAAGUCCCGUCAUUCUCG